rnacentral:lncRNA from 1 species
GGAGAGCAUUUAUUGAGUUCUAAAGCACACAAUAUUGUCAUAAUAGGAUUUCAAGUCUUUCUCAAAAAGCUUGAAAUGCCAAAGGAGUAAAUAUUCUAUAAACAGUUCACAGUAGGAUAAAAAAAAAGAGAAGGAAAGUCUUGAAGUUGCAGAAGAAAAGUCUUCAACUUAGAAUUGUCAGUGAGAUGACUUUAGUGAUCUUGCAAACAACACAGGACACAAUUUUAUAAGCAUCUUCCAUCUGCAUUGAAAAAAUGAACAUUUUUUACAUCGUGAUCAUGCAAACAACGCAAGCACAAACCAAGCAAGUAUAAAACUAUUACUACGUACCAAGACGGGUACUAAUCUUG